rnacentral:rRNA from 1 species
AUUGAACGCUGGCGGCAGGCCUAACACAUGCAAGUCGAGCGGGGUUUUCGGACCUAGCGGCGGACGGGUGAGUAAUGCGUAGGAAGCUACCCGAUAGAGGGGGAUACCAGUUGGAAACGACUGUUAAUACCGCAUAAUGUCUACGGACCAAAGUGUGGGACCUUCGGGCCACAUGCUAUCGGAUGCGCCUACGUGGGAUUAGCUAGUUGGUGAGGUAAUGGCUCACCAAGGCGACGAUCCCUAGCUGGUUUGAGAGGAUGAUCAGCCACACUGGAACUGAGACACGGUCCAGACUCCUACGGGAGGCAGCAGUGGGGAAUAUUGGACAAUGGGCGCAAGCCUGAUCCAGCCAUGCCGCGUGUGUGAAGAAGGCCUUCGGGUUGUAAAGCACUUUCAGUAGGGAGGAAGGGUUAAGUGUUAAUAGUACUUAACUUUGACGUUACCUACAGAAGAAGCACCGGCUAACUCUGUGCCAGCCGCCGCAGUAAAAC